GGAGAGGUGGCAGAGCGGCCGAAUGCACCGGUCUUGAAAACCGGCGUAGGGUCAAACCUACCGUGGGUUCGAAUCCCACCCUCUCCG
rnacentral:tRNA from 1 species